UUCCACUCGCGAGCCAAGAAGUUCUCGCAUGGCCAUCGUGUAACAGGGGCUGUGACUGUGCUCCCACCACGCACCACGAGCAGACGGCAUUGCAAUUUUACAUCGGGUGUUACAACAGUGGGAUGGACUAUAUACUGCAGUUAGUGAUUCCUGUAUCAAUACUAUGCUUCUUAACAAAUUCUAGAGUGAAACUUUUGUUUUAAAACACCUUCAUGGAUGAAGAGCCUUGGCCGUGGUGUGACUUGAAAGUUUCUGCUUCUCUCACCUCCCUUUCCACAUUUCAGAGGAAAACCCAAGAGAUGGAAGAGAGAACUGUCCAAUUGGAAAGACAAGGCAUUUCACAGGAGAGAGGAAGGAAGAAGAAAUUCCAAAGGUAGUCUCAAGAGUCAGAGGGGUUCAACUGACAAGUCCUUUGUCUACCUAGAAGAUAUUAGAAGAGGAUUAACCUAACUAGUACUAACUAACACCUCCAUCUUAAGUUUGAAGGAUGAAAGCGUCUCUUGAUUGGAUAAGGAAGUGAAUAUGAAGAAAGAUUGCAUACAGAAGACAGUGUCUGAGGCUGGAACUGGGAGAACCUCUGCAGCCAGGUACAAAAAUGGCUGCAUAUGCUGGUUUGGAAAAGUCAGCUUCAAAACUAGAGGGAUGGGAUUUCAAUUCAUCAGCAAAACCCCUUGGAGUUAAGUCAUUGCAUUUUUGAAAUACUGAAAUUUAGCAGAAGAUGAGUCUGGCAGCUGUAGAAACUUAAAAGAAAAGAACAAAGGAAUUUAUACUUCCUUGUUGUACAGACAAUUUUGCCAUGAAAGCAGGCAAGAGAUUUUUAUUCCUCUCUUCACUUUGCUUUUGUGUGUAUCUUGCAGGAACUACAGUUUAUAGUCUCUCAAACUGUACAUUGACACAGAAAAGAAAACCCAUGGAUUGGAUGGUUUGGCAGAGGUUCUGAAAAAAACAUCAGUGGAAAGGAAUUUUAUGCACUUUUGUUGGCAUAGCAGUGAAUAUGAACAGAACUAUGCAUAGAAAUAUCUUCUGUGAGCAGGAAAACAGCAUUAAGGCACUCUGUUUCCCUUAGGACUUAAUACUUAAUCAGGAGCAAAAUGAUAGAAAUAUCCAUUUUCUCCUUUGCUAAGGAUAUGACCAGGGUGCAGCAAUCCUCACCUUUUGGCACUCUUGUGAGACAUGUUCUUCCCAUCAUUUCUGACUGAACAGCUCCUGAAUUCUCUCAUGUUUGUGAGCCCAAAAUUCUGAUCUCUUGUAGGUGUACUUAGAAAUUAUAAACACAUUAUAAAAACAUGCUGAGUAUUCUGAGUAUUGCUCAAUAGAGAAAAGCCUACUCUGUUCUCUUUUUCUCCAUGGCUUCCCUUUCCAAUGCCCUCUAGCAGAAAGAAUAAAGCUUAAUAAUUUAUUUUUGGUGAGCAGCAAAGGAAACAUUCCAGGUGCUGAAUAACCUGAACUAAUCAGAUUAUUUUAAGUAUAAAUGGCAAGAGAAUCUAGAUAAAACACAAACCCUUCUUUUGGCUGUAUUUGCACUGCUCUUUCUCUUAGGUUCUCCAGCUCUAAGUAUUCCUAUUGCCUUUUCCUUGAGUGCCUGGUCCUCAAGCUGGCUCUAUAAAGCUAUACAGGCUAUAAAAAGCUAUAAUUUUGCAAAAUUAUAUCUCCUUAGAGGGGGUAAACUUGCUAAGAAGUAUCUGGAGAUGGGCAAAAGACAGAUAGGUUUUCAUCAAGGUCUUAUUCGUGGCUAUGUCUGCUCACCAUGGCCAAAAUCUCCCUGGGUAAUGCAAUUAGAGCUGCUAAUUCCUGAGGGUUUCCCAAGAGGAAACCUGGCCUAAUUCAGGAACUGACAGAGCUCCACCUGCAGAGCCAAGUGGGAGGGAGUCUCACCUGCUGCAGUGUGUGCAUCCAUCCAACUGCCUGCCUGAAACCAGCACACAGCUGGUCACAUGCAGAGUACUGUGGUCUGUGCAAUUUGCACUUCUUUCUCUGGAGUUAUUUGCAUUUUCCUUCUCCUGAGCUAAGGGAAAUCACAAUGGACAUCUUUUCAGUCUCAGAAGAGACUCCCACUCCCAUGUUGCUGGGCUGUGGGAGUUCCAUAAAGGAUGAGUAUUUGACAGGAUCCUGGGCUCAUUUUGUAUACAGUGCAGAUAAAACAAACAGUUUAUUAUAAAGGACAAAGAUUAAUAACAUGUUCUCUAGGAAAAUCUGAUUGUCAUGCUGGUAUUCUGAACAUGAGAUGAGGACAGACAAUAUACAUUAUUGCGGGGUCAUGAUGGCCCUAAGCAGAUUAGUUUCUCUUUGAGUCUCUCCUAAAAGACACGUGGCAUCUUUAGAUUGACUGGCUUGUAACAUUUUUACAGGAGCCUUACUGCAUGCUGAAGAGAACUUCCAAAGAAAUGUCCUUCAAAUAUAUCUUUUGAUUUUUGCCCAAUUGUAAAACAAGUGUUUUUCCAGAAGCUGGCCUGUGUUGGCUGCCUAAUAAAUGCUCAGGAAGUAAAAAAAAGAGAAUAAUUUUCUGUUUUAUUUUUAACCCUUCUCAUUCCUUAAUUUAAAUCUUAAUGAUGACACAGUCCUUAUUUUCUUUUUUUUUUUUAAUUAUUUUUUUAGUUACCUAGGCUGAAAAGUUAUGUCUGAAGUAAGCACCAGGAAUAAUGCCUUUGUGGCAGCUCCCCUUUCCCGAAGCUGCAUAAGCAGUACAGGCUCUCUUGCACAUACAAAUUUUGGUCUCCUCUGCACUUAAACAGGACUGUUUAGUUCAGUUCAGAAGCCUGAUGAGAUUAUUUCCUUUACAGGAGGUUCUUCUGUCUUAAAGUCAUGUUCAUUCUUUUAAUUUGGAAUUGUGUUGCUGCAGAAAUAUAAGAAAUAAAAAAUAACCACUGUAGUAGCAACAUUAGCUGUGCUAGUCCAGUGUAUGUUUAAAUUUAAUUCCAAAAAAUAUGAAAAUGGAGGAUCAUGUUUAUGUGAUAAUCUGUAUGUUAAAGGAGAGGACUUAAUGCUGUACUGACCAUAUGAGGAAGAGCCAAACAAUGAGGAAGAGCCAAAAAAUUUACCCAUGUCCUGAGUUCCCCUAAAAGCAAAGGUCUGUUAGAGACAGGCUGCUUGACUUCCCUCAGUGUGGUUUCCCUCUCCCUCUCCCUCCCAUGCUAUGGUUUCCUCUUGCUUGAGCUCUGAGAAAGAAAAAGUCUCUUGUCUCUGUAGUUUGUCCCUCUAGUUGACCAAUUUUUCCUUCUUUUGCCCUCAUGGUAAAGCAGAGAUGCUGUUGCAGACACAGUGGAGAUCUCUUGCAGAUCCGUGAGCUGCAUUAGCAAGUAUUUGCCACGGGCAGAGCAAUUCCAUCACUCUCCCCUAGGACAGCAGGCACGGCAGACCCUGUCGCCACACUGAUCAUUUCCCUCCUGUUGUGUUGCUUUGAAAUCACAGCUUCUCUCUUCAACUCUGCUUCCAAACCACAGAGACAGUUACAGUCUGUGGGAGGGCAGGAAACAUGGGGAAAUAUUCUGGGGCUUUAUAUGUGUACUAUGCUUUGAACUAAAUGCUGGCAUCUACUCAGGUGUGCUAUACAUCCACCACCAGCCACAGGUGACCUAGUCUAGAGUCGUCUUAACAAACUACUUCAAAACAGCUGGGUUUAUGUUAACCAAAGGAAAUAAAGGCUACAUAUGUGAAUCUACUUUCUUAGCAGUUCUGGGUGAAUUGUGAAUCCUACAGCUGCUUCCAGGGGUGGCAAGCACAGCCUUUUCACAUUCCCAAAGAAAGGAGAGCUUCCUGUGCUCUGAAAAUAACCUCAUCAAAAUUGUGCACAUCAAAGGAUACCAUAAAGAUAUUGGGUGCUUUUGUUAAAAAACAAAAAAGGAAAAAUAGAACACUUCUCUUUAAAGCUCUCCUUUUGCUGAAGUUUCUCCUGUGCGCUUCUUUGGUACUUGUCAUUAUUUCCCACCAUCAAUCAAUCAUACUCCCCAGUAAAUCAGCUCAUCCACUCAUCUUCACCUCCCUGCAAUUUCCCAAUGAGGUUAGAAACAGCAAAUUGCUGUAAUGUUAAGUAAUAAACCCCAACCUUUUUAUGACUUGGCUGUUGCUUAUUUUUCUCUAGUGGAUACCAAUAAAAUAGAAAGAGCUCCCUUGAGCAGCACAUCUGAGAAGCUGGAAUGCUUUUAAGUGUGACAGGUUAGAAGAGGUCUUUAGAGACAAUCUCUGGUACUCUCUAAAAUUAACUCCAUGGGGAAAUCCUAAAUAAUUCUGCAUAAUUAGAAACCUUGUAAUUGGAUGCAGCAGAGUUACAAUUACUUUAUCACCCCUGUUGUUGAAGCAGCCUUCUGUUACAUUGAAGGCUAAGUAAGCCUGACUGCUUCUGUGUCUCCUAUUCUGCACAUGCAAAAUCUCUGAUGCCAAGGAGGAUGAUUUCUCCUAUAGCUACUGUAAUGCCCUAUUGAAUCAGAUCAAGUUUUCAGCUAUAUAACUACUUGUUGUAUAGAAUUUUAUUAAUCUCCCUCCUCCAGUUUGUUAUCUGUUUAGAGAAAUAACUCCUAAUGAUGGGACAAUAUCCUGAAGGAAGAGGCAGGGAGGGGAGACAGGCCCUUAACCUUCUCCUGGUCCAUACUUCUUUAGCCUUUUCCAGCAUGCACAUGGAUUCAGACACAGUGUGUGAAGCCCCACACACAACACAGUCCCCAGAUCUAGAUAAGGGCUGGAUCUAGCCCUGUUUGUGUUUGCUGUCUACUAGUGACAUUCUGUGAUCAUGGUAUAUGUACUGAAUCAGAAAAUACAUUAUGAGAAAUGUGUAGCAGAGAAAUGAGGAAGAAAUUUAUUCAAAGUAAAAAUAUAUUCUAAAUAAAUAUUUUCUUUAUGUUAUCUGAAAGAUACACAUUGCAAAUAAAGUCUUCUGAGAACAUGAACAUAUAUGGGAGUAGUCAUCAUGGACUUGCCAAAGGAAAAUCCUGCCUGAGAAACUCCAUUACCUUGAAUAGAAUCAAUUUGUAAUUUCUGAAAUAAAGGAAUAACAACAAAGAUGGGAAAGGGCUGCUUAAACUUAAAUAAGUAAAAUGGUAUUAAAAAAUCAAGACAAUAAAAAAUAA